rnacentral:rRNA from 1 species
UGGGGAAUAUUGCACAAUGGGCGCAAGCCUGAUGCAGCCAUGCCGCGUGUGUGAAGAAGGCCUUCGGGUUGUAAAGUACUUUCAGUCGGGAGGAAGGUGGUAAGGUUAAUAACCUUAUCAAUUGACGUUACCGACAGAAGAAGCACCGGCUAACUCCGUGCCAGCAGCCGCGGUAAUACGGAGGGUGCAAGCGUUAAUCGGAAUUACUGGGCGUAAAGCGCACGCAGGCGGUUGAUUGAGUCAGAUGUGAAAUCCCCGGGCUUAACCCGGGAAUUGCAUCUGAUACUGGUCAGCUAGAGUCUUGUAGAGGGGGGUAGAAUUCCAUGUGUAGCGGUGAAAUGCGUAGAGAUGUGGAGGAAUACCGGUGGCGAGGGCGGCCCCCUGGACAAAGACUGACGCUCAGGUGCGAAAGCGUGGGGAGCAAACAGG